rnacentral:misc_RNA from 1 species
UUAACAAUUUGAAAAUUUCAAUUUCAUUCAAGAUUGCAUUAGAAUAAAGGUAAUACUUUUUAUUGUUGGGGAAAAACUUGCUCCCAUGGUCACUGUAUAAUAUGGCAUGAUAGGCUUCUAGAGACUUUCAUGUACAAUAUUUCAUUGUUGAGGGACUUUGUCCUCCUCAAACCCAAUUACAUAUCUUGAUUCCAUCAAGAACUUCCACAUUUUAGUUAUUAAUUCAAACUAUACUAUUUUGCAAUAGAUGGGACACUGGUUCUAGACUCUUAACUCUAGAGGAAAUGAUUUUUGUGCCUGUGUAGGCAUAGGAGGAGGAGGAGGAGGAAGG